rnacentral:rRNA from 1 species
CGCCCAAUAGCUAGCCCACCAUCACAACCCAAAUAUUUCCCUAUUUAUACACCAUAAAACACCUAAACUAAUAAACAAACCAUUUUUCCCCCCAAGUACGAGCGACGGAAAAGGGACUAGGAGCAAUAGAGAAAGUACCGCAAGGGAAAGCUGAAAAAGAAAUGAAAUAACCCAGUAAAGCCUCAAAAAGCAGAGACGCCCCCUCGUACCUUUUGCAUCAUGAUUUAGCCAGUAAACACUUAAGCAAAAAGAAUUUUAGUUUAACACCCCGAAACUAAGUGAGCUACUCCAAGACAGCCUGACAAUAGGGCAACCCCGUCUCUGUGGCAAAAGAGUGGGAAGAGCUUUGAGUAGAGGUGAUAGACCUACCGAACCUAGUUAUAGCUGGUUGCCUGAGAAUUGAAUAGAAGUUCAGCCCUUUGAAUUCUUUACUCCCCCUGACUUUAUCUACCCCAUAGAUCUUUUAAAGAAAUCAAAGGAGUUAGUCAAAGGGGGUUCAGCCCCUUUGAAACAAGACACAACUUUCCCAGUAGGGUAAAGACCAUAACCAAACCAAAGGCAAGAUGUCUUAGUGGGCCUAAAAGCAGCCACCCAAAUAGAAAGCGUUAAAGCUCGAACAUCCCUCUCUCCGCCUUUAAUCCCGACAACAAAAUCUUAUCCCACUAAUUCCAUUAGGCCAUUCUAUGAAUUCAUAGAAGUGAUUAUGCUAAUAUGAGUAAUAAGAGAGGACCCGCCUCUCUCCCCCGCACAUGUGUAAAUCGGAACGAACUCCCCACCGAACAUUAACGGCCCCAAACAAAGAGGGGACUGGAUACAAAAUAAAUAACCAGAAAACCAUCCUACAACCCACCGUUAACCCUACACUGGCGUGCCCCCAAGGAAAGACUAAAAGAAAAAGAAGGAACUCGGCAAACACAAGCCUCGCCUGUUUACCAAAAACAUCGCCUCUUGUCUCACAUAAAUAAGAGGUACCGCCUGCCCUGUGACCACAUGUUUAACGGCCGCGGUAUUUUGACCGUGCAAAGGUAGCGCAAUCACUUGUCUUUUAAAUGAAGACCUGUAUGAAUGGCACGACGAGGGCUUAACUGUCUCCUUUCUCCAGUCAAUGAAAUUGAUCUCCCCGUGCAGAAGCGGGGAUAUGUACAUAAGACGAGAAGACCCUAUGGAGCUUUAGACACAAGAACAGACCAUGUUAAGCACCCCAAAUAAUGGACAAAACUGAUUGAGCCCUGUUCUAAUGUCUUUGGUUGGGGCGACCGCGGGGAAAUAAAAAACCCCCAUGUGGACUGAGAGCACAACACUCUCACAACCAAGAGCCACAGCUCUAAGUAACAGACACUCUGACCUCUAAGAUCCGGCACUUGCCGAUCAACGAACCGAGUUACCCUAGGGAUAACAGCGCAAUUCCCUUCUAGAGCCCAUAUCGACAAGGGGGUUUACGACCUCGAUGUUGGAUCAGGACAUCCUAAUGGUGCAGCCGCUAUUAAGGGUUCGUUUGUUCAACGAUUAAAGUCCUACGUGAUCUGAGUUCAGACCGGAGUAAUCCAGGUCAGUUUCUAUCUAUGACAUGAUCUUUUCUAGUACGAAAGGACCGAAAAGAAGAGGCCCCUACUUAAAGUACGCCUCCCCCCUACCUACUGAAACCAACUAAAAUAGGCAAAAGGGCAUACCCUUAUGCUAAAGAAAAUAGCAU